UUUCAGGAUACUUUUCCCCAGACGUAUGCAAAAGCUUAUCUUUCCAUUGUCAGAAUAACGUAAUAUAAGGAAGUAAUAAAUCUUAUAGUCUGUACUGUAUUUGCAUAUACCAUGGCUAAUGUAAGCAAACUAUGUAUAAAAGCCAGCUCUGGAAUACACUCAUUUGAGAGUCUUGUCAACCAUCCUGUUGUCCGUGUCUUAUUGUUGACAAUGAUUCUCCAUCAACAUUGAUUAUGGUGACCGAGGGAUCGAGAACCGAGGGGAUUAGAGUCCAUUACAGCAUUAACCCUUUCACAUGCUUACACGGUUACAUCUCUGGUGCAGUUGGCC